GUGAGGAAUAUUGGUCAAUGGACGGAAGUCUGAACCAGCCAAGUAGCGUGCAGGAUGACGGCCCUAUGGGUUGUAAACUGCUUUUAUACAGGGAUAAAGUCGGGAACGUGUUCCCGUUUGUAGGUACUGUAUGAAUAAGGACCGGCUAAUUCCGUGCCAGCAGCCGCGGUAAUACGGAAGGUCCGGGCGUUAUCCGGAUUUAUUGGGUUUAAAGGGAGCGCAGGCUGAUGAUUAAGCGUGACGUGAAAUGUAGCCGCUCAACGGCUGAACUGCGUCGCGAACUGGUUAUCUUGAGUGAGUUCGAUGUUGGCGGAAUUCGUGGUGUAGCGGUGAAAUGCUUAGAUAUCACGAAGAACUCCGAUUGCGAAGGCAGCCAACAAGGCCUUUACUGACGCUAAAGCUCGAAGGUGCGGGUAUCGAACAGG
rnacentral:rRNA from 1 species